rnacentral:rRNA from 1 species
ACUGUACGGGAGGCAGCAGUGAGGAAUAUUGGUCAAUGGUCGGAAGACUGAACCAGCCAUGCCGCGUGCAGGAAGAAUGCCUUAUGGGUUGUAAACUGCUUUCGGUAUUGAGGAAGGAGUGUAUGUUAAUAGCAUACAUUAUUGACGUUAAAUACAGAAGAAGCACCGGCUAACUCCGUGCCAGCAGCCGCGGUAAUCAGU